rnacentral:lncRNA from 1 species
CCAACCCCUCCCAUAUUUUCCUUUUCCUUUGACACUAGCUCCAUCUGAGCUUUACCCUUGGCUCAGGGCUUUGAAGAAGGAAGCUACCAUCCUCAGAGACGCUUCUGAGGUUUGUUUUCAUAUCCCAUGUGCUGAAAGGAACCUCAGAAGAUCAAGGCGUUAGUCAAGAGUAGAGCUUGCAGAGUGAGAUCACACUCUCCAACCCUCAAGCAGCGUGGAGACUGAAAAUGACUAGCACAGGUAAAUCUGUGUGCUGAUCUCUGAACAGUCUGAGGAAGGGAGCCUUGCAAAGCGAGAAGGGCAGUAGGGCAGAGAGAAACUUUCAAAUUCGGGCAAAGGUCUGACAUGGUCUCAUGAUACUUAAUCAAGUGAACACACGAAGACCAAAGCCUGCUGCACACCAUCCAGCGUGUACUAGGAAGCGGUCUGAGAUGCUUAGGGAUGAGCUUGCCCUGAAACCUGCACACAGACACCAUCCCGGUAAACAAGUGUUGGAGAACAGAUGGCUGGUACUGUGAGCUACGAGUUUCCUAAGCCCAAGAGAUUCCAUCUGCAACUGCUGCUCUCCUUGUGGCAGGACUGACUGGAUCCAGGGGACACCACAGUGGAAGAACAGAGAAGCCCCCGCUUUGAAGAGAAAAUAGACUUUUUAUUAGAAGUCACCAGAAAGAAGUUACCUCUGCCUCUGAGAAGACCAAGGUGACAGCAAGUUACUUAUAAAAAAACCAAAAACCAAAAACCAAUGCAGAGUGUCUUUGCAAUUUUCUUAAAGAAGCCUGUUUGUUUUCAGUUCUCUCCCUACUUGUAUCAUAAGCAAACGUUUGGAAAGUGUCUCUGCUUUGAUUCUCGCAGACCCUCUUAUUCUGUGGAGGGCACCCUCUGCUCCCAGGCCAAGGGGUUUGUUUAUUUUGUAUUGU